UUGCACGCUGGCGGCAGGCCUAACACCUGCAAGUCGCGCGGAUGAAGGGAGCUUGCUCCUGGAUUCAGCGGCGGACGGGUGAGUAAUGCCUAGGAAUCUGCCUGGUAGUGGGGGAUAACGUCCGGAAACGGGCGCUAAUACCGCAUACGUCCUGAGGGAGAAAGUGGGGGAUCUUCGGACCUCACGCUAUCAGAUGAGCCUAGGUCGGAUUAGCUAGUUGGUGGGGUAAAGGCCUACCAAGGCGACGAUCCGUAACUGGUCUGAGAGGAUGAUCAGUCACACUGGAACUGAGACACGGUCCAGACUCCUACGGGAGGCAGCAGUGGGGAAUAUUGGACAAUGGGCGAAAGCCUGAUCCAGCCAUGCCGCGUGUGUGAAGAAGGUCUUCGGAUUGUAAAGCACUUUAAGUUGGGAGGAGGGGCAGUAAGUUAAUACCUUGCUGUUUUGACGUUACCAACAGAAUAAGCACCGGCUAACUUCGUG
rnacentral:rRNA from 1 species